UAAGGAGCUCUCCCAUGCAGCCAUGCACUAAAAAUUCUAAGCCUGCCCACCUCCUUCACACAGCUGUGCCGCAGCCCUUGCUUUCCUGCUGGAUUUGGAAGCUCCCCAACUCCUUACAAAAUGGGACUUUCCAAUGCAAUCCAAGUUUAUCAUCUUCACAGAACAGAGCAGUGAACUGAAGAAAACACCUGAAAAUUAACUAAUCUAGAGGCUUCAAAAUGUGGUACAUGGAUCAGAUGCAAUCUCCUGGAUGCCUUGCAUAUAACAUGGAAGUAUGGUUUGUUGAAACUACAAGUUCCAGCAGGAGGGGAGGAUGCUCAGGAAAUAGUUGUUCAACAUGGCUGCCUGACUGGAAUGUCUAUAUUUACGCUAACAGGAAUGAUCUUACCGUACUACAUGAAAUCAGAAAAGGAGAGGAUCCCCCUAGAAUCUUUUCAACAUCUGGGGCUUCUACAAGGAUUAUCAGAGCCUGGAGGAGGAUCUGAAGAUUUCAGCUGCAUUUCUGCCAAGCUGCUGAAGUGAAAGGUCGUCCCUUUCUCUCUUGGGUCUCAUCUGUUUCCAUCACAAAUUCAUGGGAAGCAGAGGAGCCUUUCAACUUCAGAUGGGUGUAGGGAGGGAAGCAGAAAGGAAAUGACAGAAAAGCAUGAGGCCCCCAUCAAAAGCUGGUGCUGCAAGCCAGAACUACUGCGAUAGAAAGUCUGCAUUAUCCAACUGUUUCGGUGUGUUUGCAAAAGGGUGCCUAAACUGGAUGUGCAUAACUUAAUGCUGUGGUCAGUUUGUUAUACAGAAUCUACUCUUGUCUUUUCUGAAAAAAAUAUCCCCCAUAAAAUUAUGCUACUUUUAAAUAUCCUAAGCCAAAUCUGCUCUCAUUGUCACCAGUGCAACUAUUGGACUGUUUCUUCAGGACAGGACUGACAUUCGGCCAUUUGUGCUUUAAAAAGAUGGGUGCCAAUUCUGGACCAUGUUCUAGCCAUAAAGCAGAGUCAAAGGAACCUCCUGUGGGCUGGGAGACAAUUUCCCAGUGCAGGACAAACAGUGAGUGAACCUACCUGGCCCUCUUGCAGUUUCUGGAGUGGAGGUGAGGGCUAUGGGGCAUGUGUUAACAGCACGUAGCACUAUAGGGAAUUCUGAGCUCCAUGGCAGCCCAGGAACUUCAGGGGGUAGCCAAGUUAGUCUGUUAUAGAAAAAAACAACAAAUGGUCUGGUAGCACUUUAUAGACUAACAAAACAUGUAGAUGGUGGUAUGAGCUUUCCUGGGCACAGCCCACUUCUUCAGAUGACCCAGGAAGGCUGCCAUAAAUUAGAUAAGCCUCUUUAUCCACUAGGCUACCCACUCUUUUGUCAUGCAUGAGAAUUAUCAUGAACUACAGUAGCCACAAGCUUAUUCUGACAAUACAAACAAAACAAAGGUCAAGGCUUUUUGGUUGUCUGUAAUGUACGCAUAUGGCACAUAUAAAUAACCAAUUGUGGUUCAUAAGGAGAAAAGUAGGGGAUUCUUAUUGCCAAUCCCAUACUUGCAGACCCUAUUCAAAAUAAAACAUGAAACCUUCCUUAUAACUGAGUCCCACCCAUUUCUGAUAACUCACAACAUUCUAAGCCACCUCCUGUCUGCAUGUUGGAGGUCCCCAUCUUAGCUGUCCCAAAAAGCUCUUUGUGAAGCUCUAUGGCCUCGCCUGACCCACCUGCCAGCAACCAAGAAGCCACAAGAUAUAGGCUGACAUUCUGAAUACACCAGAGCCUAAACAAAACUCCCAAGGAUUUCAGUGGGGCCAGUGUUUUCAUCUGCAAUGUAAGGAAACAUUCCAAACAAGACACAUAAGAGCAGUUUGUUGGGACACGUAAAAAUUAAUAGGGGUCUGAGAUGGCUAUACAUAAGUUGUUAGGGAGUCUUGCCAAAAUUGCCAUUGCCCUUUAAACACAUUUUUCCCCUUUGUUCUGGCAGUCUUGGAAGAUGGUUGCACUGAACAGUGUCUUGUUUUGUCUUUGCACUUGUUCUGUAAAAACAUUUUCAGGGGCAAAGUGAUUUCCCCCUCCCUAUAAAUUGAUGAUUAAGACAG